rnacentral:rRNA from 1 species
GAUGAACGCUGGCGGCAUGCUUAACACAUGCCAGUCGGACGGGAAGUGGUGUUUCCUGUGGCGUACGCGUGAGUAACGCGUGAGAACCUGCCCUUGGGAGGGGAACCACAGCUGGAAACGGCUGCUAAUACCCCGUAGGCUGAGGAGCAAAAGGGGGACUCCGCCCGAGGAGGGGCUCGCGUCUGAUUAGCUAGGUGGGGAGGCAAGAGCUUACCCAGGCGAUGGUCAGUAGCUGGUCCGAGAGGAUGGUCAGCAACACUGGGACGGAGAGGCGGCCCAGACUACGACGGGAAGCAGCAGUGGAGAAUGUACCGCGAUGGGAGAAAGGCUGACGGAGCGAUGCCGCGUGGAGGUAGAAGGCCUAGGGGUCGUGAACUUCUUUUCCCGGAGAAGAAGCAAUGACGGUAUCUGGGGAAUAAGCAUCGGCUAACUCCGUG